rnacentral:rRNA from 1 species
GACGAACGCUGGCGGCGUGCUUAACACAUGCAAGUCGAACGGAAAGGCCCUGCUUUUGUGGGGUGCUCGAGUGGCGAACGGGUGAGUAACACGUGAGUAACCUGCCCUUGACUUUGGGAUAACUUCAGGAAACUGGGGCUAAUACCGGAUAGGAGCUCCUGCUGCAUGGUGGGGGUUGGAAAGUUUCGGCGGUUGGGGAUGGACUCGCGGCUUAUCAGCUUGUUGGUGGGGUAGUGGCUUACCAAGGCUUUGACGGGUAGCCGGCCUGAGAGGGUGACCGGGCACAUUGGGACUGAGAUACGGACCAGACGCCUACGGGAGGCAGCGGUGGGGAAUAUUGCACAAUGGGCGGAAGCCUGAUGCAGCAGCGCCGCGUGCGGGAUGACGGCCUUCGGGUUGUAAACCGCUUUCGCCUGUGACGAAGCGUGAGUGACGGUAAUGGGUAAAGAAGCACCGGCUAACUACGUG